UGAAAAAGAACUACGAACAGCAUACAAAUAUAUACAAAGAUAUCUAUAGCACAGUGAAAGAGAUAAAGAACAGUACAUAAGUACUACUGUCUCUAAAAGUUCACCCAAAAAAAAGUGAAAGGAAAAUUAUGCUUCAUGGUGAGCACCGAGGUGGUUGCCGAAGAGACAUGGGCUAAUGAGUGUGUCAGGCUUCUUCCUACAGAAGUUUAGUGUUAAGUACUGCAAGAUGUAUUUCGAUAUAUGCUAAUUAUGAUGCAGUUAUUGUAACCACAAAUUUGCUAAAUAGUGUAUCUAAAAGAGAAUAUUUAAUGUCAUAGUAAGAAUGAACGAAUUUAGGAAUUGUUCUACGAAGGAGACAUCUCCUUUGGCAGUUCCAUGGAAGCAAGAAAACGCCUAGAUAUAUACUCCUUUAGCAGUAGACUCUAAUCAAGUUUUGUGAAGGCAACUUUUUCAUCAUAUUGAUGUAAGAAUUUUUUCAUCCAGAAUGACUCUAUGCAGUGUAGAUACUUUUGUCAAUAUAGAUAUAGCAAUGUCUGAGAAAAAACAUGGACAUAUAGAGAAGAUGCAGUUGAAGCAAAACGAGGAAUUGACCAAGAUUGUAGCAUCAUUUAUAAAAUGAGGAAUUGACCUUAAUAUUCAGAAGUUGCAAUGAGGCAUAUUCUUUGCCGUGCUGCUUGCUAAAAAUUGUGAAAAGGUCCCCCAUCUACACGCACAUGUAAAUGUAUAGUGCACAAGAUUAAUGACUCAGAAAAACAAACAUGGAAAUUAGAUUACGACACUAUGAUGGCUCCAUGUUCUCAGAUAGUGGCGAUGCUGUCAUCGAUAGAGACAUAACGGCUGACAAAAGGUCCUGAAGAGAAGCCAUGGAACUAUUUCAGCAGGUCCAGAAUUCUUAAUUAUAUAGCCUGCAGUUCAAGUUCAGGCUAAAACCAAAUUUGGGCAGUACAGAUCGAGGUGGUCCAUCCCUCCUGCACUUGUGUUUUGCCGCUCUCCUAUUCUUCUCAGAUGGACAAGCACUUUUCCUCUGCUUCAAAGACACCUCUUCUCACGGCAUGGCUCCAUCCUUGUAUAAGUCUGCGAAACUGCAGAGUUAUCAAAUUUAAGUGGCAAGGCAUGAAAUUAAAGGAAACUGUAAUGUAAUAGAUAUUCAGAGCCCAUCACAUGGCCUGGAACUAUGAAGUACCAACAGAUCAGAUGCCCAACAUUAUCUAAGUCCUCUAUAUAAUUUACAUUCCCUUGUUGCUAGAUGUUACAAGGCGUCCUAUCUCAUGUUAUUUUCUUUGUCCUUAUUUUAUGAAGGCAAAAAUUUUGUAAUGAGGAAGUGGCCUUAAAUGCUGAUUCUGCAAGUGUACAGUAGGAAACACAAGAGUUAUAGAACCAACACAUGAACAGGGGUAACAUACAAGAGAAGAAAUGGAGGAAAACCAAAUCUAUGGUUAACACCUUGUAGCAGUAAGAACCUUGCAAAGAAGCAUUAUUCAUAAAUGCGUUGUAAUAAUAGGAUAAAAAGCAAUCAGAUGCAUACCCAAUGAUAGACGUGUUAGUAAAAAAUGUAAGGACCAGAUUAAAUAUGCCCCAGUGCAAUUUAACCUCAAUUACUAAACUUGGAAAUUGCUAAAUCUGCAAACGGGGGGUUUGUGGCAUUUUUUUAGGAUAAAAUUCUUCACAGCGAUUCAAAACAUAAGAACCACAUUAAAUAUACCACAGUUCAACUUAACUUGGGCCACUGAUUUGGGAAACGACGUAAUUUGCAAACGGGGGUUUUCGUGGCAUUUCUUUAGGAUGAAAUUCAGCACUGCAACUCCAAACAUAUCGGUACUGUGGGAGUGCGCUAAUGUUAAUACUGUAUUUUAGAACUGAAAUACACAUGCCAUGUAUAUGGCAUCUACCUGAUGCUACGGCCCAUGUGUGCUCUAUGAUGUUACUCAGACGUUAAGGGACAUGAGUGGCCAGACCAAGCUUCCUUUUAAAAAAAAUUGGUUCAACAUUAGAGUAGCGAUUUUAAAAUGCCUAUGGAAAUUAAAUUCGAAAAAGGCAUGAAACGUUACCAGGUAUUGUGUGAAUUUUGAUAACACAUUUACAGCAAAAUCUAUAUUGGAAGGACAAAGGCCAUGUGUGUCAAACCAUUUUAUCAUUUUAUCGAAAAUAAAUUUUUUAGUGUACGACAACAAAACUUACUGGUUAACUUGGCAUCAUGAAAGUGAUAUGUAUGACAACAAAUUUCUUGUUUGCAUGUUUUGUAUGUACAGAGCCAAGUGACAAAUAAUUGCGUCAUUGCAUUGAAUGUGUUACCUUGAAGGUCGACAAUGGCAUGGCUAGCUAUCUCCUGCCAAUUUGGGAAUUUCUCAAAAAGAUAUUGUAUUAGCAUCCCAAACUGCAUGAUAAGAAGUAUGAUUUAGUUAGUAUAGCAGUUAAAAGUGUCAAUCUUUGAGGCCACAUGCACGAAACCAAGGUACAAAAUUUUGAGCCAGACACAAUGUAAGCAUAAUUUUACUUCUGAUAAAAUGGAAAUGUGUUCAUAAGAAAGCGGGUUAUAAAAAGAAUGUGCAGAACAUAAUGGGGAAUGCACUGACAUGAAUUGGCACAUGGUUAGAAAGUUGCCAGAGCUUCUUAGAGGCCUCAGUAAUGUGUCGAUCAUCAUUUGUUCAUGAAUCUGGAGCUUAAGGGCAUGCUAACAAAUGGGCCACUCUCCAAAAAUUGCAUAAUACCGGUAAACAGGACAUGCCCACUACCUCACAGGUGAACGAACAUUAGAUCAUAUCCUUAAGCAAUAGAUACAGAAUUUUGAUCAUAGGUAUAUAAUGGGCAUGCGUUUGAGGUAACAAAUUGUGGUGUGUGUUUGGAGAAGGAAUUUUUAAGAAGAAAACAUUAGAACAUAAGCAGACACAGGCGGGAGCUGUGCAAGUAGCCCAUCAAUGUUCUGCCGCAUGAGUAGGUUCCUGAAAUCCAAAACAAGGUAGGCAGGGCUGAGAAACUGAUAAAAAAAUCAACGAUGCAAACUCAUACCUCUCUAAUCAAAACUCUAAAAGGAAAUCUACGUACGCUGGCAGUCUGACAUCAGUUUUAUUGACAAGACCCAUGAAAGUACAAGCUGUGAAAUUAUAUAAUUCCAAGUAUUUCUACCAUGAAGAUUUCUAAAACCAGCUGAGAAAACAAAAAAGAUUGAAUACCCUAUCUAUCCAUGGAAUGGGCUCUGGUUGGCACCCUACCUUGUCUCUGCUGCAGCAGACCUGCAAUGCUUGUUUCUGCUUCAAUCCAGGUUGUGGAAGAUCAAAUCAUUUGACAGAAAUAACAAAGUGCAUGAACAAUGGCAUGCAAUAACUCUUUACCUUCAUCGAUAAUUCAUUAAAGAAAAUGUAUGACAAUAUGGCAAUAAAAUAUAUUACUAUAAUUAAUUUAUUUCAUUAAUAUAUAGUAUCCUAUAACACAGGUUCCAUUUCCCCUGGUGUGGAAAAGGUAUUUAAUCUCUCAAACACCAACAAUGUGAGCUGUUUAAAAAAUCUAUGACUGAAACAUUACCUGUGAGUCUGUGACCAACAAGCUAGCUAAAAGGGACAUGACAUGAUAAAGAGCAUACAUAUAAAUGCAUUUGGUGACACAAAUCUGUCAUGGAGCCAAGGAAACCAUGUAAUCUCAUAAAAAAGUGUAUCAUAAUAAAGGAUCACCUAGUGUAUAAAAGUUAUCAAAUAUCUCACACAAGGUGAGGUGAUUUGAAAAUGUAGAGUCAUACAUUUUUAUUAGUAACAAUAAAUAGCAGAGACAAGCUAAUUAGAAGGGACAUGUAGUGGUAAAGAACGUACAUAUAAAUGCAUUUGUUGACACAAAAAAAAAUAUCAAACCAGAUCAAACCCUGAUGUAACCAAAUGAAGGCAUGGAGCUAGAGAGGGGACAAUGUGGGAUUGGUUGGGGCCUGCACGCGGCUGAGGCUGAGGGCAGGCACCGUCGUGGCCCGCCAGGCGUUGGCAUCGCCGAGAAGGGGAGCGGGCACCGCCGGUGCUACGACGAUGGCUACAACCACCGUCUGAUGUAACCGGAUGAAGGCAUGGAGCUAGAGAGGGAAGAAGGUGAGAUUGAUUGGGGCUUGCACACGGCUGAGGCUGAGGAAGGCACCAUCGUGUCCUGCCGGGCAUUGGCAUCGCCGAGGAGGCCGGAGGGGGUGGCCACGCCGAGGGCCGGUCGCCACUGGUACUACGGCGACGGCUACAGCCACCGUCGGGGCCCAGCCGCAUCGGUGUGCGACCACCGUGGUCCAUGGGUGUUCGGCAGCUGCAGCACCACAUCGAAAGAGAGAGGGAGAGGGAGAGAGAGACAGAGAGCCACGCACGGCAGGGGGGAGACGGAGGGGGCAGCGACCUCGACGGCUCGACCGUGCCGAUGCGCCGUCACCCCGGAGGACGGCCACCGCGGGGCAGAGAGAGAAACACAGGGGAAGACUGGAAGAGGGUGUGCGCAGCUGCUGCGUCGGAUCUAGAGAUAGGGAGAGAUUUCUGGAAAGUGCAGGCGAGCAUCUGGAAAGUGCAAGCGAGCAGCCGGUAGGCGGAGGGAGCAGCGAAGUGGCAGGUAGAUAUUUUUUGCCAUGGCGUGAGAAGGAUGUGGCUGGUAUUUUGAGAGCGAC
rnacentral:lncRNA from 1 species